rnacentral:rRNA from 1 species
UGCCUUGGCAGUCAGAGGCGAUGAAAGACGUAGUAACUUGCGAUAAGCCCAGAUU